GACGAACGCUGGCGGCGUGCCUAAUACAUGCAAGUCGAGCGAUGAGGCUUGGUGCUUGCACCAAUUUGGAGAGCAGCGGACGGGUGAGUAACGCGUGGGGAAUCUGCCUUUGAGCGGGGGACAACAUUUGGAAACGAAUGCUAAUACCGCAUAACAUCUUUAAACAUAAGUUUUAAGUGUGAAAGAUGCAAUUGCUUUACUCAAAGGUGAUCCCCCGUUGUAUUAGCUAGGUGGUGAGGUAAAGGGCCGCCCAGGCGAAGUAAGAUAGCCGGACUGAGAGGGGGGUCGGCCAAAUUGGGACUGAGACACGGCUCAAGAGCCUAAGGGGAGGAGCAGGAAGGGAACUUCGGGAAUGGGCGAAAGGCUGGCCGGACAACGCCGCGGGGGGGGAUAAGGUUUUCGGGUCCGAAAACUCUGGUGGUAGGGAAGAAAGUAGGUGGGAGUGGAAAGCGCACCUAGUGACGGUAACUAAUCAGAAAGGCACGGCUAACUACGUG
rnacentral:rRNA from 1 species